AAACUUUCAACAACGGAUCUCUUGGUUCCGGCAUCGAUGAAGAACGCAGCGGAAUGCGAUAAGUAAUGUGAAUUGCAGAAUUCAGUGAAUCAUCGAAUCUUUGAACGCACAUUGCGCCCCCUGGUAUUCCGGGGGGCAUGCCUGUCCGAGCGUCAUUA
rnacentral:rRNA from 1 species